AUUGAACGCUGGCGGCAUGCUUUACACAUGCAAGUCGAACGGUAACAGGCCGCAAGGUGCUGACGAGUGGCGCACGGGUGCGUAAUGCAUCGGAACGUGCCCAGUCGCGGGGGAUAACUACUCGAAAGAGUAGCUAAUACCGCACACGAUCUAUGGAUGAAAGCGGGGGACCGUAAGGCCUCGCGCGAUUGGAGCGGCCGAUGUCAGAUUAGGUAGUUGGUGGGGUAAAGGCUCACCAAGCCAACGAUCUGUAGCUGGUCUGAGAGGACGACCAGCCACACUGGGACUGAGACACGGCCCAGACUCCUACGGGAGGCAGCAGUGGGGAAUUUUGGACAAUGGGCGCAAGCCUGAUCCAGCAAUGCCGCGUGCAGGAAGAAGGCCUUCGGGUUGUAAACUGCUUUUGUACGGAACGAAACGGAUUUGGUUAAUACCCGGGGAUAAUGACGGUACCGUAAGAAUAAGCACCGGCUAACUACGUG
rnacentral:rRNA from 1 species